UUUAUACACAUUUUGAAAAGAAUAUUUAAUUAUAAAAGAUGGGUAAUGCUUCAUUGAAAGCAGAAGUAAAAUCCGAAGGGGAUAAAAAAUUGAAGCCUUGCUGUGCUUGUCCUGAAACAAAAAAGGCGAGAGAUGCAUGUAUUAUAGAAAAGGGAGAAGAAAAUUGCAGAGAACUUAUAGAGGCUCAUAAAAGCUGUAUGCGUUCAAUGGGAUUUAAUAUAUAAUACAUCAAAGAGUAAAUUAUAUUUUGUAACUUUCAUCGAUGUAAUUAUUAUUACAAAAAUGCUGUGGUUACAGAUAUUGUUCUGUGUUUAUUUUUAUUUGUAAAUAACUUAGUAUUAUGUAAAAUAAUUUAAAAAUUAAAUAUACAAGUUUAAAUUAUAAUAAAAUAACUAAUGUUAUUUUUAUGUUAUGUAUCUAUGUUAUAUCAUAUGAUAUGCAAUGUUAUUGCAUAAUAUGUCUAGAAGAUAACAGUAGUAGAACGAUGAAAUAUAUACAAUGAACAACUA